AGGAGGAGGAGGAUCUGCUCCCUGAGCUGAGGAUUCCCUUCACCGUGGACAGAGAUUUCCUGCUGGAUCUGCGGCGGGAGCUGGCGGGGCGGGCGCGCUGCAGGCGCAGGACGAGCCUGCAGGAGCACCGGGCCCGGCUGCAGGAGCUGUGCGAGCGCCGGGCUCUGCUGCUGGGCCCGGGGCAGGACGGAGCCGCCACACCCCGCUGUCCCCAGGGCAGCCCCGGGCCACCACUGUCACCUCUGCCGGCAGCCAGCGGGUCCCAGCCAGCUCCCGGGGCCAUCCAGCCCCCAGGCAAGGCUCUGGAGAAGGAGAGUCGUGCCAAAGGAGCGGGGAAUGGGCAGUUAUCCCAAAUACCCUGCAGCAGCAGCAGGCAAUAAAGGCUUUAUUCCCA